rnacentral:rRNA from 1 species
UACGUAGGUCCCGAGCGUUGUCCGGAUUUAUUGGGCGUAAAGCGAGCGCAGGUGGUUUAUUAAGUCUGGUGUAAAAGGCAGUGGCUCAACCAUUGUAUGCAUUGGAAACUGGCAGACUUGAGUGCAGGAGAGGAGAGUGGAACUCCAUGUGUAGCGGUGAAAUGCGUAGAUAUAUGGAGGAACACCGGUGGCGAAAGCGGCUCUCUGGCCUGUAACUGACACUGAGGCUCGAAAGCGUGGGGAGCAAACAGG